rnacentral:lncRNA from 1 species
UGUGGGACUGAUAUCUCUUCCUCUUCCAGCUGCAAUAUUAAUGUAAAUAAAAUACAAAAAUAAUAAUAACAAUCUAAUAAACGAAUUCGAAAGGUUCAAGAAAAUAAUGACAAAUCCCUAAUGAAUCUUUUGUCACCCAGUAUAUGGUAUAUAAAUAACCGUAAGUAAAUAUGCGAGUCGUAUAGGGUGCAUAUCCUUUUUACAUGAAACAAUCAUUUAUUACCAUCUAUCAUCUUAGAUUCAAGCUAAGCACAUGAAAAAAAUCAUUGAAACUCAAGAAUGAUUCAAUCAAGUCCUUAACAAAAAUAGUGUGUUUAUCGAUGAUCCAAAACUGAAAACCAAAACUGGUACAAAAACAAUAAAAAAAGCAAAAUACAGAAAACGAAAUGUAAUAAAAUGCAAAAUCAAAAUUGGGGAAAUCGAAUACUGACCAUCCUUCGAAUUAGGGUUUCAAGUUUGCUAUUCACAGAACAAACGACAAUUGCAACAUUAUUGAAACAAUAGCAGAUCUGUAAGUCAAGAAAGGCAAAGAAUUAUAAAAUGGAAACCUUAAACAUACCUCAAAGAAAGAAUCGAAGCGGCUUC